UAAUCACUAAAGGGAGAAUUGAAAGUAAGUUUCAAUUCACAAUCGAUUUGAAAUUGUUUUAAUCGCCCACUGCCUCGCUAAAAGGAACCUAAUGGAUCGUACACCGUGUAAGGUGGAGAUUGAAAAAACAAUGGAGAUGAGUAAGAAUAAUUAAAUGGUUUAAUUAUUUAUGGCAAGGAUUAAUUAAUAUGUUAAUUAAUCAAACGAAUAAGUUCGUUAAAAGACCACGGGUUAGUUUUGGGCCUCAAGGCCCAAUGGGCUUCGAACGUCAAGCCCAUUGACUUAAGUUGUAUGACAACUUAAUUCACAAAAGGCCCAAAAGCCCAAUAAAACCCUUAUGGCCGGCCAUGUUAGAGAGAAUGGCUUUUUGGUUCUUUAGGUCACUUAUUUGAAGGGACUAUAUAAAGGACUUUAUAGCCUAAAAUUCAUUAAGGGUUAUUUUGGAGAAAAAUUGGAGAGAAAACAUGUCUCUCCUUUUCUCUCUAAGGAGGCCGGCCCCUUGGAGGGAUUAGUUAGCAAUCCCACUCCUCCAAGGUCACUCAUUUCUUCUCCAAUCUAACCUUGGUGUGGAGACUUAGAGGUUCUCUUUUUGAGACAUUGGAGAAACCUUUUCAUCCAUCCAAAUCUAUAGAUCUUAGAUGUAAGAAAUGAAGGCCCUCUCUUUGGGUGAUUAGCCUUUGCUUAUGCAAAGAGGAAUCUACAAAGGUAUAAAUUUCUCAACUCACUUUGUUUUGAGUUGAGUCUUGGUUAACCAAUCUACUAGGCUUUGAAUUUCAUGGGUAAUGUUUUGUUUUUGAGUGCAUGCUAGCAUGAUUCCGCCUUUAAUUGUUAAUUGCAUGCUUAUAGAUGUUGCUCAAAUGAACAUGUUUUUUACAAAUAUUUCCUUCAAGUGGUAUCAGAGCCUAGGUCUAGUAGUUGGUGAAUCCUUUUGGGUUUUGUAGUUCAUAGUUUUGAUUUAAAAGUUGUAAUAUGUUACAAGCUUUAUUCUUGUUUCUUUGAAUGUAAAUUUUGUUAGAAAAUUUGCCAUCUCAAAUGUUGUAGAUGUAGUUCAUAUGAGCAUGAAUAUUGGAGCUAAAAUUUGGUGCCAUGCUUUUGGGAAAAUUCGGCCAAAUCCAAAGGGUGGAUUUUUGGGUUCUUGUUUGACUUGUUAAAAGUGUUUUAAAGUGUUUUUUUGGAACCCCUAUGUACCCUAGUUUGGUUAUAUGUUAUUUCCCUAAAGUUUAAAUGGUUUUGGGAUGUUUUUGGAUGAAAAAUGUUCAUGGAAUUUUUUUGGGUUUUUCAUGAAUGUUCUUCAUUGUUCUUGACAUUUUUGCCAAGAACAAAAAGUUUGGUGUUUUGAUUCAAAGUUUUGAUUUAUUUCAUAAAAUUUUUGUUUUAUGAUUUAUCAAAUAUUUAAAUGUGUUAGAUAUUUAUUUGAAAGGUGAUUGAAAUUAUGUAAGGUGAUAGAAAUGUUGAUGGAUGUGUAAGAAGUACUUCUCUUACACACACACCAACUUAUUUCCACUUGCAUGGUUCCACUUGCAUGGUUCCACUUGCAAGGCUUUAUGAAUUUGUUAAAAAAUUUCCAAAUUUUUGUGGACUUAUCUCCACUUUAUUUUCUCCCUAAAACCGGCCACCCUAUUAAAAUAGGGUAUUUUUGAGGCUUUUAUGCAAUUACAUAAAGUUUUGAUACUUUUGUGUAUUUGUAUUUUGACCCGAAAGUUUACGUUUUGACGUUAAGGCCUAAAAACGCUAAAGGACAAAUUGUUUUGUUCCUUUAAUGAAGUUUUGAAUUUAUUGAAAUUUUUGGGUUCUAGUUGUAAUUACAUGAAGUAGUGGACUUUUGUGUUUUUACAAAGUGACCCCAAAAGUUUGUGUUUUCGCAAUAUAGCCCAAAAAGUUGUGGUUAUUGCAUGAUGGCCCAAAUUAGGUUGAGAACAAAGUUGUUUUGUCUCUUUAAAUGAGAAUUGGAUUUUCAUUUUAUUUAGCUCCAUUUAAAUCAAUUUUAUGGAUACAAAAACCAAAUGAAAAUGUUGCAUUCAAUUUAAUUAGUUAAAGUGUUAAUUAAUUAAAGGGUGAUUAUGAACCUAAGCCUACGAUAAUUGAGCUAUGUGAUAGGCCGUUUCAAAUUUGUUUGAACCAUGGGAAUGUGUAGAUUAGAUUUUGGUUGUAAUUUGAUUUGAUCAAAUGUUGUAAAAGAGCAUAAGCUCUUCUUUACUUUAAAGUAAUUUGUAUUAUGCAAAUGUUGUAAUGAGCAUAAGCUCACCUUUACUUUGAAGUACUUCUUUCUUGCUUUAUAUGAUAUGCAUGAAAAUGAAGUAGUUGGGUCCAACGCCCCUAAGACAACACGCCUUAAUGUGAUUAAAUGCGUAACUAAAAUCAAUCACCAUCCCUAGACCGAGAUUCAACACAAGGCUCGUGUUGAAUCUAAUCAAAGGUUCAUAGUCAUCCUAAGGCCCUAAGGCAACUAUAUAGUCCAUCAAAUGAAUGCAAAAGGUUAUGUUAGUAGUAUCAUAUACUCUUGCUUUAAAAACCGUUUUAUAAGCAUACUGGGAGUAUUAUAUACAACUAAAAACAAUCAUAUGGACCAAUAGUUGUAAUAGGACCAAAAUUGUUUUAAUAAGAUUAAAAUGAAUAUUUAUAUGUGAUGAGACCUAAAACCCUCAACCAAACCAUUAUUAAGUUGACAAGCGUGAGAGUGCUUUGAACACUCUUUCGUGGCCUUCCACCGUGGUAGGCUCCAAUCGUUUAUGACUUGUACUCAGGAGGAGUUUAUUUAAAACAUUUGAUGAGGUUAAGGUAGGCAACGAGUGUGGCCAACAUCGUAUCAUCGUGAGGUCAUACUUGAACCCCUAUCUAAACCGGCAUGGUGGGAAAGAACUUAACUAAGAGAAAUGGUGCCAACAUCGUAUCAUCGUGAGGUCAUACUUGAACCCCUAUCUAAACCGGCAUGGUGGGAAAGAACUUAACUAAGAGAAAUGGUGCCAACAUCGUAUCAUCAUGAGGCAUUGUUUUCUAGAGGCCAAAUAGAUGGGUACUUGCAAGAGAUGCAAAUGAGUAAGCGUACUCUCUCAUUAUUAUUAAUGCUAGCCAACAUCAUAUCAUUGUGAGGUGGGCUUGGUAGUAGUGAGUCUCCCAUACCCUACUAAGAGUUUCCUCCAAAACUCUCGAAUUCCAAUGAGGGAUAUGGAAUUUGCCAAAAAUAGUGGGUGGUGCUAUUUGAUUUAAAGACCCGGAUCAAAUGGCUUAAAUCAAUCAAUCUAUAUUCGUUAUGUAUUUAUUUACCAAUAUAUUUGCAAACGCUAUCCAACACCUGACAAAUAAAAGCCGAAAGCUUUAGUUUCCAGACUUGGUACUACAAAACCAUAGAUUGUCUUUAAUGGCUUGUAAAUGUACCUAAGUAGUCUCAUCCUCACAAUCUUCCUAUUGAUAAUGUAUCAUUAGAAGAAUAUGUUAGAAAAAGUCUAUCAUAAAGAGGACAACACUUUUUUAUGUCAUAAUUCUUCAAAUACAAAUUGUUGUAUGAAGAAAUAAGAGUUGCUUUGAACAACCCUUAGUCAAUGCAAACACUUAGUGCUUGUUUCUUUGUUACAUGAACAAGGAACUUUAGAAGUAAGCACAAGGGCAUGGACACUUUAUGUGCCAUGAUUCUUCACUUACAAAUUGUUGUAUGAAGAAAUGAGAGUUGCCUUGUACAACUCUUGAAAGUUUGUAAUUAUGUUUAUAACACAAUGGUUGGUUGACAAAAAUAGUCCAUCAACAUGGACUUAUGAUGAUUUUGAAUCAUUGAGUGUUGAAGUGUUAAACCACUUAACGAGAUGGAAACUAGGCAAGGACUUCACCUUUAUGUCCCUAUCCUAAUGGUUCACUAAGUUUAUUGUAAACUAUGUAGUGAACAAUAACUGCACUCUCUCCAAAUUAUUUGAUGUGUAUACCACAAUUGAAAUAAGUUUCAAGAGAGAUAGUGGGAGUUUAGGGACCAUGACUAUUGUAGUCAAAGGAGAAGUCAAAUGAAGAAGAUAAAAUUAACUCCAAGGGAACAAACUUUCUUUAUGAAAGGAUGGACAUUGGAAGGGGUAUUUGCAAGAAAUGUCUUGCAAGUGCCAAGAACACACCUUUUGAAGGUGUUGUAAAUUGUUCUUGAAAAGUUCAAAACAGUUGGUUCUUCUACUUGAAUGCUUGAUUCCGUAUUAGUAACUAUGUAUUACAAUCGUUGUAAAAGUGUGACUAAUAAGAAGUAGAAGAUAUAUGAGAGAAAAAAAAGGUGCUUCACAUUCGGAACGUGAAUAAAAUAUAGAUCUCUGCGAAAGCAGAUAGUACUUACUUCCUCAUAUGAACUACCAAAGAAAUUGGAAAAACCAAAGAUAGUCUUUACAUUCCAAUUUUAAGGAACUUAAUUCCAUCACUAUAGUAGAGAUGGAUGAAUGUUUUGUUUGACAAAACAUUGUUCUUUAUUAAUCAAUGAUUGGAUUAUAGUAAUCUAAUUGAUUGUCUCUAUAGUAGAGAUGAUAUGGUAAUGUUAACUGUUUAGAAUAUAAUGAUGCUUAAAACCCAAAAGGUUGCAAGGUAGUGACUAAUCCCAACUGAGUUGUGAUACCUCUAAAACAUAAAUUACGAGUUGGUCAUAGAUGGAUGCUUUGGAUCGUUAGAUCCGGAUCCAAUACCUUCUUGUUAAAAUUGUAUAGACGCGAAAUGUUCGAAUCUUUAUUCUUUUGGAAAGAAUAAAGAAUCACAAAGAUGUUGAGGUUAAUUCACUUAGAUGUUAGUGGCACUUGUCCACAACAUAAUACUACUCAUGUUGUAUGACAUUCACCGAAGAUCACCCUCGGUUGGACUAUAGUUUAUUUUAAAUAAACACAAGUCCGAAUACUUUGCAAAAGGUUUCAAAGAAUUCAAGAAAUGUAAGUUGAUGAGUAAGACGUCUAAAGUAUUUACAUCCUUAGAUUUGAUCAAAGGAAUGGUAACACUUUAGAAUAGUUUUCUUGAAAGAUAUCAAGGAAAGAAGCAUCAUAAGAUAAUGAAUUUCUCCAUUAGGAGAAGAACGAACUCGAAUAAGAUUUAGUUCAUUGGAUGUUAUCUAUUACCCAUAUAUAUGAUAUAUAUAUACUUCUAAAACAAUAUGAUUGUCAAUUAGAAGAUUUUCCAAAAUUUUCAUAACUCCAUAAGAUGUAGUUGGAAAGAAAGACAAAUCUUAAGCAUGUUAAGAUUUGGGGUUGUGUGCUAAUAAGCAAUAUUUGUUUGAUAACAAUCUUGUGGGAUAUCCUUAAAUUAACUUUUGGAUAUCACUUCUAUAAACCAACUAACAAAUGUUGUUUUGUUGGGUAGUUCAUUGUAAUCCUACAAUGUGAUUUGCCUAAGAGCAAAUGAACGAGAGAUAGAACUCAAAGAAUGGGUUCUUUGAGAGACAAGAUAAUAAUCAACAAAUAUAACAACCUAGUUCCUAUACCAAAAGCUCCAAGGUAGUCAAGAAGGAUUUAUAAACCGUCUCAGUUGAAUGGUUUGAACUUUAUGACUAUGUCAUAGAGUUGCACCUCUUAAUUCGAAAGAAAUAAGAAUGAAAAAUCCUUAUGACUACAUUGAGUGUAUAUACGAUAUAUACUCAAGGAAAUGGUAAAGUACCAUUUGACCCGAAAAUAAUGAAACCUUCAUAAGCUAAUUGGUAGCUUAAGGUAACUACAAUCAAAAGAAUGGUUGACUUUGAAGAAACCAUCUUUGACGUAGUCUUGGUUUCAAUUAAUUCGAAGAUAGCUAGCUACAACUAAAUGGUGAUUCAAUGUUUGAACAUAAUAUGGGUUUCCGAAACCAUUAUUAAGAUAGUCUUAAUAAUAUAUGUCUAAAACUAUGAAUCACAAGACAUGUAAUUUGUAGAGAUCUAUCCAUCAUGAAUCUAAGCAAGCUAGUGGGAGCUAUGAGCAUCUUAUGAGAAAAGGAUCAAAUCGUUUGAUUUCUCAUAAAGAUGUAAAUGAAUCUUUUGUUUACUAGGUUUACAAAAGAUUAGUGGGAGUUAAUCAUGUUCCUAAAAUUUAAAUAUAUAUAUAUAUAUAUUGAUAUAUUAAUUUUGGAAAUGAAAAGAAUUCUUCUUCGUUAAAGUUAUGACUUUAAGACAUUAUAUGAAGAUAGAAUGUAUAUGGGAGAUAUAGUCUAUAUAGAUGGGAUGGAAAUCUAUAAUGAUAUAUUUCAUGAUAUAAUUGGAUUAUAUCAAUCCCUAAUAAUAGACAAUAGAUGCUAGGAAGUUUCUCAUAUGAUGAUAAACUUCAAUUAGAAGGACAACUCUAGUGAGACUAAGAAGUUGCUCUUCUCAAAGAGAACGUACUCUUUGACUCCCAAAGAAAUAAUGCGUAAAUAGAAUCCUUUAUGCAUACGCAUAAAGGUGAUUUAUGUAUUUCAUAUUGUAUGAAAAACAUUGAUAUGAGUUGUACCUAGAACGGUACAAGACGAUAUCAGUGCAAGCCCAGGAUUAGAACCAUGGCAACUGUCAAGUAAGUCCUUAAGUAUUUAAGAAAUACUAAAGGAUAGAUUCCUCAAAGAAUGAGGAAGAAUUAGAGUAACGUAAUGGAAGCGUAAAUGUAUUAGAUUAUGAAUCUAAUCCAUCAUUGGAUGUUUCUUCAUUAUGAAUGAAGAGAUAAUCAGAUAUCUCUUUAUUAUGACUAAAGAGAUAUUUGGAUGGGAACAUUAAAAGUAAUGACUUUAGUAUGUUCCAUUAUGAAUGCAAAAUAUAUUGCCAUAUAGAAGCUUACAACAAUGUUGUUUGGAUGGGAAAGUUCAUUUAUGAACUCUCUAUUCGGUUCCAACCAGAAAGUGUAUCUAGUGUACUGACACUAUGACACUAAUGGGGCGAUAUCUCAAGCCAGGGAAUCAAGGUCUCAUCAAGAUCCGAACUCAUAUGAGAGACUGAACCAUAUGAUUGAGAAUCAUGUAUAAUGAUGACGUCGUUAUUCUUAAGGUUGCUUCUAUGGAUAACAUAUAGAUAUCCAUUGUCUAGGCCUACUACUCAGCCAUUUAUGAAAUGACUACAGAAGAGGUAUCAUCAUUGAUGACCAAGCUGAUUGGCUCUAGUGCAAGUGGGAGAUUGUUGGAAAUGUGCCCUAAAACCAAUCAUAUGAUGAUACUUUACGGACAUUUCACAUGUUAAACUAAUGUAGUUUAAAUAUAAAGGGCAAAGAUUAUUGUUUGAGCCGUCUCAUAUAAAUGUUAUAUGCUUAAACGAUAAGUCCAAGGAAUAUGUGAUUGGGAGAAUGCAAUCUAAAGAAGCUAGAUUCAUGAGACCAUUCUUUCGUAGACACAUCAUAAACGUUCCUGAUAAUAGGAUUGCCAAUUGGGCAUUGAUAGUCCGUUAAGAUCAGUACGUGCUGUGUCUUCUCUCAAGGAGAGUGACUAGUCUCGAGUCAUUGGUGUGUGUGACAUCAAGAAAAGUACGUAGGUGCUCAAUAGAGAAUGAGUUCACUGAACACGAUCAAUGAAGAGUUCUCAUAUUCAUGUCACAUGAGAACUCGUGGUUGGGAUAAUGCAAAGUAGUCCUUUGACCUGAGGCAUCACAGUUGUCUUGUGGUUAAGUCCUUGAUCUUUGAUUAUGUCAAAGUCACCCCAUCCGCGGGUGUCCACGGCAUCGUUGGGGUUAAGCCACUUAGCCAUGGAGACAAUUGAAUGCGCAACAAGGGAUCUCUAACUUUUCAAACCGUUUUGGGGGAGAAUACUCUAUGAUAUGACUGAAAAUCUCUGAUCAGAGUAUGAAUGAGAUUUAGGAAGGCGUUCCAAAUCACAUUCAAGGUAAUCAUAUAAGUAAACAAAUCACAUUGAAUAGUAGACAUGAAUAAACUAUCAAACCAAACAAUGUGGUCAAGAGUAUUGUAUUAGAGAAAGACCGUAUUGCAUUUGUAAUCCUAAACUGAAUAGGUUCUCCACCUCUUCUGAUUAGCUUGGGUAACCAUGAUAUGCUGCUAGGUGUCACUCAUGGUUUGUGGAAGCCCUAAACGUGUAUAAUCAAUAAAGGGAGAAUUGAAAGUAUGUUUCAAUUCACAAUCGAUUUGAAAUGGUUUUAAUCGCCCACUGCCUCGCUAAAAGGAACCUAAUGGAUCGUACAUCGUGUAAGGUGGAGAUUAAAGAAACAAUGGAGAUGAGUAAGAAUAAUUAAAUGGUUUAAUUAUUUAUGUUAAGGAUUAAUUAAUAUGUUAAUUAAUCAAACGAAUAAGUUCGUAAAAGACCACGGGUUAGUUUUGGGCCUCAAGGCCCAAUGGGCUUCGAACGUCAAGCCCAUUGACUUA
rnacentral:lncRNA from 1 species